UUUUAAUAAAAUGGGAUGUUGAAUAAAUAAAUAAAAUAUAAACUAUUUAUUAAUUUUUUUUUUUUAAAAAAAAAUUUAAUAAAAAUAAUUUUUAUUAAAUUAAGGUUUUUGUAUAAUUUUUAGAUUUAAUAAUUUUAAUUAUAGUGUAUUAGUAUAGUAAUAUAAAAUUGAAAUAUUAUGAUAUUUUAAUAUAUUCAAAGAAAAUUUUAAUUAUUGUACCUUGUGUAUCAGGGUUUAUUAAAUAAAGAAUAAUUAUCUAUUUUUCUCGAUUUUAAGAGGUCAAUUGAUUUAUAAAAUUUAAUGUAAAAUAAUUAUUAAAAAUAAAUUAAUAGAAAUGAAAUAUUAUUCGUUCUUAAAUAUAUCUAGUUUUUUAAGAAAUAAAUUUAAUUUAUAUGUUUAAAAUUAAAUUAAGUAUUUAUUUACUAAAUUUAAUUAUUUUAAAUAUAAAUUUAUUUAGGGAUAAGCUUAAAUAAAAAUUAUUAAAAAUAAAUUUAUAUUUAGGAUAAAUGUAAGCUUAGAAUUAGUUAUUAUAAAUAAAUAUGUAAAAAUUUAUUGAUAAUAAAUUAAUAUUUAUUUUAUUUUAAUUUUUUAUUAAAUUAUUAAUUUUAAUAAAAAAAAAUUAAUUUAUAAUGAUAAAAUUAGUAUAAUAAAAUUUAUAUAAAAAUAAAAUUUAUAUUUUUAAUAUAUAUAUAUAUGUAUAUUAAUAAAUAUUAUAUAUUUUUUAAAAGAAUUAGGCAAAUAUAAUGUUCACCUGUUUAUCAAAAACAUGUCUUUUAGUAAUUUAUUAAAAGUCUAACCUGCCCAUUGAUUUUAUUUAAAGGCUGCGGUAUUUUGACCGUACAAAGGUAGCAUAAUCAUUAGUUUUUUAAUUGGAAACUUGUAUGAAUGGUUGGAUGAAACAUUGACUUUUUUUAAAAAAAAAAUGAAUUUUACUUUUUAAUUAAAAGGUUAAAAUAUAAUUAAAAGACGAGAAGACCCUAUAGAGUUUAAUAUUUUUAAAAUAUUUAUAUUAAUAAGAUUAAUAAUUAUUAUAUUGAAAAAAUUAUUUUGUUGGGGUGAUAAUAAAAUUUAUUUAACUUUUAUAAUAUUAAUUUAUACAUUAAUAUAUGAAAAAUUGAUCCAUUAUUAAUGAUUAUUAGUUUAAAUUACCUUAGGGAUAACAGCGUAAUUUUUUUUUAAGUUCUUAUUAAUAAAAAAGUUUGCGACCUCGAUGUUGGAUUAAGAUUAAUUUUAGGUGCAGAAGUUUAAAAUUUAAGUCUGUUCGACUUUUAAAUUCUUACAUGAUCUGAGUUCAAACCGGUGUAAGCCAGGUUGGUUUCUAUCUUUAAUUAAAAAUUAUACUUUAGUACGAAAGGACCAAAUAUAAUAUAUAAUUAUUUAUAAAAAAAAAAGAAUAAAAUUAAUAAUUAAAUUUU
rnacentral:rRNA from 1 species